rnacentral:lncRNA from 1 species
CCUAUUUCCUGUACAUCUCUCUGACACACACACACACACCUUUUCUCUACACACUCUCUCACACACACAUUCACUCUCUCUACACACACUUUCUCCAUCUCACACUCUCUAUGUACACACUUCCUGUCUGAUAAAUAACUGUGUCAGGAAUAUCACCUAUCAUGGUGGGCUACUGUCCCAUCUGUGGGAAACCCGUCUACUUUGGAGGAAGGAGACCUGUUUUACGCCUCGUUGGAUAUCCGUCAGGGACAGAGGAGACCAAAGAAGAAGAAGAAGAGAGUCCAGAACUCUGACUUCAGUACCUACACAGCCAUCAAUACCAGCAGAGUGAGACCUAUACCAGCCAUCAAUACCAGCAGAGUGUGAGACCUAUACCAUCCAUCAAUACCAGCAGAGUGAGACCUAUACCAUCCAUCAAUACCAGCAGAGUGUGAGACCUAUACCAUCCAUCAAUACCAGCAGAGUGAGACCUAUACCAUCCAUCAAUACCAGCAGAGUGUGAGACCUAUACCAUCCAUCAAUACCAGCAGAGUGAGACCUAUACCAUCC